GGGGUUGUAGCUCAGUUGGGAGAGCGCCUGAAUCGCACUCAGGAGGUCGGGAGUUCGAAUCUCCUCAACUCCA
rnacentral:tRNA from 2 species